ACAACUUGUUUUGAGUAGAGAACGCAAUACCGUGGGGACAGUUUAGCGAAGAUUGUUUUCAAAUUAACCACCUUUCCCGACCUAUACAAAUGUUUGAAGAGAAAGACUCUCAGGUCAGACCUUGAAUAUUAUCAAAACUGGGACAGUUCAUGAUAUUCCAGAUAUAAGCUGGUUGUCAUGGCCACAGCUACCAUAAGAUGCCCAGGGUGUGGCCAGGAAAUCAUGCGAGGUGCCGCAGUGGAGUGCAAUUUUAAACCAAGUGUCCAAGCUACUACAUUCCAGCAGAGUUUUGAACGAGCUCAAGAGAGACACUGGCUAUGUAUGGAAUGUAAAUACAUUGUGGAGAAUCGCUAUGGUGAUAUGUCUUCAGUCACAUCUGAGGAUGCUUAUACUUUGUUGUACAGUGUCAGAAUAAAGAAGGGAUCCAACUGCUGUAAUUCAUGUACAAUCAUAUAGCUAAACUGUUGCCAAUUAGCUCCUAACCUUAUUGACAAGCUAGAAACAGUAGUCAGUCGUAAGCUCAGAAUAUUUUAUUCUCCUGAGUCAAGACCAUACUUUGAUUUACGAAUGGUGUCGGGUAUUUGUUGUUACAUCAAGACAAGCUUGUCAGUGAUGAUUUUCUUUCUUCUCAUAACCUGCCUGCUUGAUUAUGUAUUAAGAAUGUGGGGAGAAAUUGGCUUUUGGUUGCUCUGAGUGUCUUAUCAUGCUAUCAUGCUUCAUGAAAUGAAGCCCAACUAGCUUGAUCAAUUUAGUCAGAAAUGUCAGAAAGAGAACACUUUGUUAAAAGUGGAUGUCUAUAUUUGAACUCUACAUAUCACUCAAUCCCAGGAGUGAAGAUCUGGGCAUUAAAGUGCUUUAAUUUAAGAUAAUGUUGUGCUGCAUAAGCAGGCAAGUAAAAUAAUUUAUCGAUAGUUUUAAACAGCAAUCAAGUUACCUAGCCUUGUUUAGGAACUCUGUUUAUUAAACUAUGUAUAUAAACACCUUUCUACUAUUAAUACGGAUGCCAUAGGCACCAAAGAUCAUGUUGUUCAAUAAAUAUAUAGUAUUA